UACAGAGGUCUCAAGCGUUGUUCGGAUUCAUUGGGCGUAAAGGGUGUGUAGGUGGCGCCGUAAGUCGGGUGUGAAAUCUCGGGGCUUAACUCCGAAACUGCAUUCGAUACUGCGGCGCUUGAGGACUGGAGAGGAGACUGGAAUUCAUGGUGUAGCAGUGAAAUGCGUAGAGAUCAUGAGGAAGACCAGUGGCGAAGGCGGGUCUCUGGACAGUUCCUGACACUGAGACACGAAGGCCAGGGGAGCAAACGGG
rnacentral:rRNA from 1 species